GAUGAACGCUGGCGGCGUGCCUAAUACAUGCAAGUCGAGCGAACGGACGAGAAGCUUGCUUCUCUGAUGUUAGCGGCGGACGGGUGAGUAACACGUGGAUAACCUACCUAUAAGACUGGGAUAACUUCGGGAAACCGGAGCUAAUACCGGAUAAUAUUUUGAACCGCAUGGUUCAAAAGUGAAAGACGGUCUUGCUGUCACUUAUAGAUGGAUCCGCGCUGCAUUAGCUAGUUGGUAAGGUAACGGCUUACCAAGGCAACGAUGCAUAGCCGACCUGAGAGGGUGAUCGGCCACACUGGAACUGAGACACGGUCCAGACUCCUACGGGAGGCAGCAGUAGGGAAUCUUCCGCAAUGGGCGAAAGCCUGACGGAGCAACGCCGCGUGAGUGAUGAAGGUCUUCGGAUCGUAAAACUCUGUUAUUAGGGAAGAACAUAUGUGUAAGUAACUGUGCACAUCUUGACGGUACCUAAUCAGAAAGCCACGGCUAACUACGUGCCAGCAGCCGCGGUAAUACGUAGGUGGCAAGCGUUAUCCGGAAUUAUUGGGCGUAAGCGCGCGUAGGCGGUUUUUUAAGUCUGAUGUGAAAGCCCACGGCUCAUCCGUGGAGGGUCAUUGGAAACUGGAAAACUUGAGUGCAGAAGAGGAAAGUGGAAUUCCAUGUGUAGCGGUGAAAUGCGCAGAGAUAUGGAGGAACACCAGUGGCGAAGGCGACUUUCUGGUCUGUAACUGACGCUGAUGUGCGAAAGCGUGGGGAUCAAACAGGAUUAGAUACCCUGGUAGUCCACGCCGUAAACGAUGAGUGCUAAGUGUUAGGGGGUUUCCGCCCCUUAGUGCUGCAGCUAACGCAUUAAGCACUCCGCCUGGGGAGUACGACCGCAAGGUUGAAACUCAAAGGAAUUGACGGGGACCCGCACAAGCGGUGGAGCAUGUGGUUUAAUUCGAAGCAACGCGAAGAACCUUACCAAAUCUUGACAUCCUUUGACAACUCUAGAGAUAGAGCCUUCCCCUUCGGGGGACAAAGUGACAGGUGGUGCAUGGUUGUCGUCAGCUCGUGUCGUGAGAUGUUGGGUUAAGUCCCGCAACGAGCGCAACCCUUAAGCUUAGUUGCCAUCAUUAAGUUGGGCACUCUAAGUUGACUGCCGGUGACAAACCGGAGGAAGGUGGGGAUGACGUCAAAUCAUCAUGCCCCUUAUGAUUUGGGCUACACACGUGCUACAAUGGACAAUACAAAGGGCAGCGAAACCGCGAGGUCAAGCAAAUCCCAUAAAGUUGUUCUCAGUUCGGAUUGUAGUCUGCAACUCGACUACAUGAAGCUGGAAUCGCUAGUAAUCGUAGAUCAGCAUGCUACGGUGAAUACGUUCCCGGGUCU
rnacentral:rRNA from 1 species